GCCGGGAUAGCCAAGCUCGGGACGGCGACAAACGAUCGAUUUCGCUAAAGGCUCGAGACCUGUUGAUCUUUUGAUCGCGGGGGUUCAAAUCCCUCUCCCGGCGCCA
rnacentral:tRNA from 1 species